rnacentral:tRNA from 1 species
AGCUUUAUAUUCAAUUAUGAUAUAAGAUUGCAAAUCUUAAGGUGAAUUUAUUCUAAGGCUU